UAGGGAAUCUUGCGCAAUGGGCGAAAGCCUGACGCAGCCAUGCCGCGUGAAUGAUGAAGGUCUUAGGAUUGUAAAAUUCUUUCACCGGGGAAGAUAAUGACGGUACCCGGAGAAGAAGCCCCGGCUAACUUCGUGCCAGCAGCCGCGGUAAUACGAAGGGGGCUAGCGUUGCUCGGAAUUACUGGGCGUAAAGGGCGCGUAGGCGGAUAUCUAAGUUGGGGGUGAAAGCCCGGGGCUCAACCUCGGAAUAGCCUUCAAUACUGGAUAUCUUGAGUUCGGGAGAGGUGAGUGGAAUGCCGAGUGUAGAGGUGAAAUUCGUAGAUAUUCGGCGGAACACCAGUGGCGAAGGCGACUCACUGGCCCGAUACUGACGCUGAGGCGCGAAAGCGUGGGGAGCAAACAGGAUUAGAUACCCUGGUAGUCCACGCCGUAAACGAUGAGUGCUAGUUGUCGGCAUGCAUGCAUGUCGGUGACGCAGCUAACGCAUUAAGCACUCCGCCUGGGGAGUACGGUCGCAAGAUUAAAACUCAAAGGAAUUGACGGGGGUCAUAGCUGUUUCCUG
rnacentral:rRNA from 1 species